rnacentral:rRNA from 1 species
UACGUAGGGGGCAAGCGUUGUCCGGAUUCAUUGGGCGUAAAGCGCGUGUAGGCGGUUCGGUAAGUCCGCUGUGAAAGCCCGGGGCUCAACCCCGGGUCGGCCGUGGCGACUGUCGGGCUGGAGCACUGUAGAGGCGGGCGGAAUUCCGGGUGUAGCGGUGGAAUGCGUAGAUAUGCGGAGGAACACCGAUGGCGAAGGCAAUCCCCUGGGCCUGCACUGACGCUCAUGCACGAAAGCGUGGGGAGCAAACAGG